rnacentral:rRNA from 1 species
UACGUAGGGGGCAAGCGUUGUCCGGAAUCAUUGGGCGUAAAGCGCGUGUAGGCGGCCCGGUAAGUCCGCUGUGAAAGUCCAGGGCUCAACCCUGGGAUGCCGGUGGAUACUGUCGGGCUCGAGUCCGGAAGAGGAGUGUGGAAUUCCUGGUGUAGCGGUGAAAUGCGCAGAUAUCAGGAGGAACACCAAUGGCGAAGGCAGCACUCUGGGACGUGACUGACGCUGAGACGCGAAAGCGUGGGGAGCGAACAGG